CGGAAGCAACAAAUGGGAGGAAAAAAAAAAAAAAAAAAACAGGCCAGGCUUGUGAAAUCCCAAACCGGACUGUCUUCACAGCCUUAAAAGGAAGACACUUACCACACCAUUUGAUAGAUACAAGACUGAGCCUUAGAGAAGCCUGCGAGGGUCCACAGUGUUACUACAAGCUCACCAGCCCUGCCCAUGUCUGGAAGGCGAAUUCUUUACCAGUGAACCACCUGGGAAGCCCCGAGGAGAGGAGAUGGCCAUGAGCACCAGAAGCCCACCAAAGAGCAAGUUGAAUGAAGAACACACAUCCUGAUUUUCUGCAGC
ensembl:lncRNA